UCCUCUGGAUUCCCACCAUGGCCUGGGCCCCUCUGCUCCUCGUGCUGCUCACUUACUGCAUUGGUUUCAGUUCCCAGCAGCUCCAGUCGCUGAAGGCGUCCGAGUUCGUGUCUCCUGGAGGGACUGUGACCCUCUCCUGCAGCCUGAGCAGUGGGGCCCUCACUGAUAAUAACUAUCCACUAUGGGUUCAACAGAGACUGGGGAAUGUUCCGCGGUUGAUCAUGCACCAUACUAGUACCAGGCCCUCGGGGAUCCCAGAGCGUUUCACUGGCUCCAAAUCGGGUAACACCAUGUCCUUGACCAUCAAGGGGGCCCUGGCGGAGGAUGAUGCUGAUUAUUACUGUUCUGUGUGGACUGGCAGUGCUCAUCACAGUGAUACAGUCAGAUGGGGAAGUGAUACAAAAACCUCCCUCCCCCCUGUGCCCUGCUGGGAGCUGUGGUGGCUGCAGAGCCCAGGGUAUAAGUGA